rnacentral:lncRNA from 1 species
GCUGCGUUCGACUGAUGGACUGAACGAGAUCAAUGUCCACUAUGGAGGUGUACAGAAUAUCUGCAAUAGACUGAAAACCUCCCCUGUGGAAGGUCUCUCCGGGAACCCUGCAGAUCUGGAGAAACGUAGAAUCGUGUUUGGACAGAAUUUAAUCCCCCCCAAAAAGCCCAAGACCUUCUUAGAAUUAGUGUGGGAAGCCCUUCAAGAUGUCACACUCAUCAUCCUGGAGAUUGCAGCCAUUAUCUCCCUGGUCC